UACGUAGGGUGCAAGCGUUGUCCGGAAUUAUUGGGCGUAAAGGGCGCGUAGGUGGCGGGAUAAGCGUGCGGUGAAAGCUUGGGGCUCAACCCCGAGUCUGCCGUGCGAACUGUUCUGCUUGAGCACUGUAGAGGCAGGCGGAAUUCCGGGUGUAGCGGUGGAAUGCGUAGAGAUCCGGAAGAACACCGGUGGCGAAGGCGGCCUGCUGGGCAGUUGCUGACACUGAGGCGCGACAGCGUGGGGAGCAAACAGG
rnacentral:rRNA from 1 species